GACGAACGCUGGCGGCGUGCUUAACACAUGCAAGUCGAACGAUGAAGCCGGAGCUUGCUCCGGUGGAUUAGUGGCGAACGGGUGAGUAACACGUGAGCAAUCUGCCCUUGACUCUGGGAUAACUGCGGGAAACUGUAGCUAAUACCGGAUACUUUCACUGGAAGGCAACUUCUGGUGAAGAAAGAAUUUCGGUCAAGGAUGAGCUGGCGGCCUAUCAGCUUGUUGGUGAGGUAACGGCUCACCAAGGCGACGAAGGGUAGCCGGCCUGAGAGGGUGACCGGCCACACUGGGACUGAGACACGGCCCAGACUCCUACGGGAGGCAGCAGUGGGGAAUAUUGCACAAUGGGCGCAAGCCUGAUGCAGCAACGCCGCGUGAGGGAUGAAGGCCUUCGGGUUGUAAACCUCUUUUAGCAGGGAAGAAGCGAAAGUGACGGUACCUGCAGAAAAAGCACCGGCUAACUACGUGCCAGCAGCCGCCGUAA
rnacentral:rRNA from 1 species